rnacentral:tRNA from 1 species
GCCUUCUUAGUUCAGUGGUAGAAUACGUCCAUGGUAAGGACGGGGUCACGGGUUCAAGUCCCGUAGAAGGCU